AGUCGUAACAAGGUUUCCGUAGGUGAACCUGCGGAAGGAUCAUUAGUGAAUCUAGGACGUCCAACUUAACUUGGAGUCCGAACUCUCACUUUCUAACCCUGUGCAUCUGUUUUAAAAUUGGCUAGUAGCUCUUCGGAGUGAACCACCAUUUUUCACUUAUACAAACACAAAGUCUAUGAAUGUAAGCAAAUUUAUAACAAAACAAAACUUUCAACAACGGAUCUCUUGGCUCUCGCAUCGAUGAAGAACGCCGCGAAAUGCGAUACGUAAUGUGAAUUGCAGAAUUCAGUGAAUCAUCGAAUCUUUGAACGCACCUUGCGCUCCUUGGUAUUCCGAGGAGCAUGCCUGUUUGAGUGUCAUGAAAUCUUCAACCCACCUCUUUCUUAGUGAAUCUGGUGGUGCUUGGUUUCUGAGCGCUGCUCUGCUUCGGCUUAGCUCGUUCGUAAUGCAUUAGCAUCCGCAACCGAAACUUCGGAUUGACUUGGCGUAAUAGACUAUUCGCUGAGGAUUCCAGACUUGUUCUGGAGCCGAGUUGGGUUAAAGGAAGCUUCUAAUCCUAAAGUCUAUUUUUUGAUUAGAUCUCAAAUCAGGUAGGACUACCCGCUGAACUUAAGCAUAUCAAUAGUAAAAGUCG
rnacentral:rRNA from 1 species